AAAGGAAUUGACGGGGACCCGCACAAGCAGUGGAGUAUGUGGAUUAAUUCGACGCAACGCGAAGAACCUUACCAAGGCUUGACAUCCUCUGACCGGCCUAGAGAUAGGUCUUUUCUUCGGAACAGAGAGACAGGUGGUGCAUGGUUGUCGUCAGCUCGUGUCGUGAGAUGUUCGGUUAAGUCCGGCAACGAGCGCAACCCCUACGAUUUGUUGCCAUCAUUCGGUUGGGCACUCAAAUGGGACUGCCGUUGACAAAACGGAGGAAGGUGGGGACGACGUCAAAUCAUCAUGCCCCUUAUGUCUUGGGCUUCACACGUACUACAAUGGCUAUGACAGCAGGCAGCGACACCGUGAGGUUGAGCGAAUCCUGAAACAUAGUCCCAGUUCGGAUUGCAGGCUGCAACUCGCCUGCAUGAAGUAGGAAUUGCUAGUAAUGGCAGGUCAGCAUACUGCCGUGAAUACGUUCCCGGGUCUUGUACACACCGCCCGU
rnacentral:rRNA from 1 species